rfam:Bacillus vietnamensis strain TCD-SED5 scaffold_11, whole genome shotgun sequence.
UUAUCGGAGAGUUUGAUCCUGGCUCAGGACGAACGCUGGCGGCGUGCCUAAUACAUGCAAGUCGAGCGGAUUGAUGGGAGCUUGCUCCCUGAUAUCAGCGGCGGACGGGUGAGUAACACGUGGGUAACCUGCCUGUAAGACUGGGAUAAC